rnacentral:rRNA from 1 species
CCUACGGGUGGCAGCAGUGAGGAAUAUUGGUCAAUGGACGAGAGUCUGAACCAGCCAAGUAGCGUGAAGGAUGACUGCCCUAUGGGUUGUAAACUUCUUUUAUACAGGAAUAAAACGAGGCACGUGUGCAUUUUUGCAUGUACCUUAUGAAUAAGGAUCGGCUAAUUCCGUGCCAGCAGCCGCGGUAAUACGGAGGAUCCGAGCGUUAUCCGGAUUUAUUGGGUUUAAAGGGAGCGUAGAUGGGUCGUUAAGUGAGUCGUGAAAGUUUGCGGCUCAACCGUAAAAUUGCAGUUGAUACUGGCAGUCUUGAGUGCAGGUGAGGUAGGCGGAAUUCGUGGUGUAGCGGUGAAAUGCUUAGAGAUCACGAAGAACCCCGAUUGCGAAGGCAGCUUACUAAACUGUGACUGACGUUGAUGCUCGAAAGUGUGGGUAUCAAACAGGAUUAGAUACCCGGGUAGUC